rnacentral:lncRNA from 1 species
GGAAAGAUCACUUCUUUACUGCAUGUCACUGGUUUAAUGCUAAAUUUGUCCUGAGUAUUAAGAUUUAAUUUGUAAAAUUGGCAAUAUUUAGUUUGGGAGUAAGGCUAGUUAAAUGUGAUUUUGAAAUGCUUAAUAGAUUAUUGUUUUAUGGUGAUUGGGAGUAAAUAUUUUUGCCAUGGGGGCACAUAGCAAAUGGGAUUGUUAAUAGAUUCUGAAAGAUUUCAGGAUGCUUGAAAUUUUCCCUCAGCAGUUCCGAUGACACCCUGCAAUUUUCUCUCUUCUCUAAAUAAUGCAGAGUUAAUCCUUCCUGCAGCCUCUGUGUAGAUUUUAAAUUCCAAAUUCACGGAUAUGAGUUGAGGUUCCCGGGAAGAGAAUGAGGACUGUGUGACUGGAGCGCGUAAAGCUGGGACAGCAGGCUGUGCCGGGUGGCGGGCGAUGGAGGCAGAGCUCAGGAUGAAAGGCGCUCAGGCGCACUGGGGAUGGUCUCAACUCUGCCUGCAACUGAUCAACUGAGAACUGUGUUCACACAAAUAGCGCGUGAGUGACAACGCCCCGCUGCGCUCCUUAGACCUCCACCCAGCGCUGCUCUUUACUGGCCACGUUCAUUCUGUUUCUGCAUUUCUCUCUUGCUGUUCACAGUAAUGAUUUUCAACAUAUAAGAUCUUAUUAGCUGUUUUGACCAAGACAAAAAUGUUUCGCUACCAAACACCUUGGUCUAGAGGACGCAGAGUCACCUCAGCUCACAAGGAAGCCACUUUCCAUUAACUCAACCCUUUGGCAAGAUGACAGUGUCUUUGCUGAUCCCUUCAAUCCUUAGUUGAUUCUAAUAAUGUCUGUCAAAGUGGAGCUCAAGUCUAUCUGUUCC